rnacentral:rRNA from 1 species
UACGUAGGGUGCAAGCGUUGUCCGGAAUUAUUGGGCGUAAAGAGCGUGCAGGCGGCCCGAUUAGUCUGCUGUGAAAGUCCAGGGCUCAACCCUGGAAUGCCGGUGGAUACUGUCGGGCUAGAGUCCGGAAGGGGCGAGUGGAAUUCCUGGUGUAGCGGUGAAAUGCGCAGAUAUCAGGAGGAACACCAAUGGCGAAGGCAGCUCGCUGGGACGUGACUGACGCUGAGACGCGAAAGCGUGGGGAGCAAACAGG